UACAGAGGGUGCAAGCGUUGUUCGGAAUUAUUGGGCGUAAAGGGCGCGUAGGCGGUGCGGUAAGUCUGCGGUGAAAUCUCCCGGCUCAACUGGGAGUCUGCCGUGGAAACUGCCGUGCUUGAGUGUGGGAGAGGUGAGUGGAAUUCCCGGUGUAGCGGUGAAAUGCGUAGAUAUUAGGAAGAACACCAGUGGCGAAGGCGACUCACUGGUCCGGUACUGACGCUGAGGUGCGAAAGCGUGGGGAGCAAACAGG
rnacentral:rRNA from 1 species